rnacentral:rRNA from 1 species
AGAGUUUGAUUCUGGCUCAGGAUGAACGCUAGCGGCAGGCCUAAUACAUGCAAGUCGAACGGGAUUUGAGUAGCAAUACUUAAUGAGAGUGGCGCACGGGUGCGUAACGCGUAUGCAACCUACCUUUAACAGGGGGAUAGCUCCGAGAAAUCGAAAUUAAUACCCCAUAGAAUUAUUGAUUGGCAUCAAUUAAUAAUUAAAGCUCCGGCGGUUAAAGAUGGGCAUGCGUGCCAUUAGCUAGUUGGUGAGGUAACGGCUCACCAAGGCAACGAUGGCUAGGGGUUCUGAGAGGAUUAUCCCCCACACUGGUACUGAGACACGGACCAGACUCCUACGGGAGGCAGCAGUAAGGAAUAUUGGGCAAUGGACGCAAGUCUGACCCAGCCAUGCCGCGUGCAGGAAGACAGCCCUAUGGGUUGUAAACUGCUUUUGUCAGGGAAUAACCCCCCGGAUGUAUCCGGGGCUGAAUGUACCUGAAGAAUAAGCAUCGGCUAACUCCGUGCCAGCAGCCGCGGUAAUACGGAGGAUGCGAGCGUUAUCCGGAUUCAUUGGGUUUAAAGGGUGCGCAGGCGGAUUAUUAAGUCAGUGGUGAAAUCCCACAGCUCAACUGUAGAACUGCCAUUGAUACUGAUAAUCUUGAGUGUAUAUGAAGUGGGCGGAAUGUAGCAUGUAGCGGUGAAAUGCAUAGAUAUGCUACAGAACACCAAUUGCGAAAGGCAGCUCACUAAACUACAACUGACGCUCAUGCACGAAAGCGUGGGGAUCAAACAGGAUUAGAUACCCUGGUAGUC